GCAAAUAUGGCAUAGUGGUUUGGGUGCUGGACUACGAUUCUGGAGACCAGGGUUCAAUUCCUGAUUCAGCU